AAUAUGGUUAAAACACCGAAAUUGGUUUAUGUUCUAAUUCUAAUUCUUUUCAUAUUUCUCGACAUAAUAAAAUCUAAUAGGGUCGUAGUAACUAUUGGCGGUAAUUGUAUAAGAGAUAAAGAUUGUCUAAAAUUUUAUGGGGCUAAUAUUAGGUGUCGUAAAGGCAAAUGUGUAGCGAUCUAAAACAUCUUACUGUGAUAAAUGAAUUCUUUCUUUAGCAGGAGAAUUGUACGCUCAAGAUUCAUAAAAGAGAAGUCUUGCACAAUUUUGAGAAGAAUGCAAGAACUUUGCUUGCUGGAGAAAUCAUGACACUAUGGACCUGAAUUGUCGCACGUUCGAAGCGUGGAAUUAACCUGAUGUUGCUAGAAAAAUCAUGGCAUGAUGGAUAUGUAACGUGCCACGAUGGUUGGGUGAAUUUGCUGCCACGUAUGAUUAAUGAGCAAAUUGUGCCACGAUAUAUGGUCGUGAAAUGUGGCACGAUGGUGGGCUUUUUGAAACCCUAAAAUUCUUUCUAUAAAAGCCAUAAGCGACCAUAGAUUAAAGAGGCGAUUUUCGGAGAGUUAAACAGAGCAUAGACGACACCAGAAAGCUGAAGAACACGCAGUGGAUAUCACCCAACUCAUAGCUGUUUCAAAUUUAUGUAUGUUCUAUUGUUUCUAUGUCUUUAAUAAAGUUAGUUAUGAGUAGAUAAUCUUCUCGGUUGAUUGAGCCAUGAUGAAUCUAUUGUGAUAUGCGAACCAUGUAGCGAACUCUCUUUAUUAUCAAUAACAUUCAGUCUUUAUUCAGAA